UCCGAGGGAUGAAAGUNGAGCGAACUUGCGGGAGCUUGCUCCCAAAAGUUAUUGGCGGACGGGUGAGGAACAAAUGGGCAACCUGCCUAUAAGACUGGGAUAACAUCGGGAAACCGAUGCUAAUACCGGAUAAUUCCUUUCCUCUCAUGAGGAAAGGCUGAAAGAUGGUUUCGGCUAUCACUUACAGAUGGGCCCGCGGCGCAUUAGCUAGUUGGUGAGGUAAUGGCUCACCAAGGCAACGAUGCGUAGCCGACCUGAGAGGGUGAUCGGCCACACUGGGACUGAGACACGGCCCAGACUC
rnacentral:sRNA from 1 species